GACGAACGCUGGCGGCGUGGAUUAGGCAUGCAAGUCGAACGGUAUCAUCCUUUCGGGGGUGAGAGAGUGGCGAACUGGUGAGUAACACGUAGGUUAUCUACCCUCAAGACGGGGACAACCCAGGGAAACUUGGGCUAAUACCGGAUGUGAGCAACUUUUAGUUGUUUGAAAGGUGGCGUAAGCUGUCGCUUGGGGAUGAGCCUGCGUCCUAUUAGUUAGUUGGUGAGGUAACGGCUCACCUAGGCAAUGAUAGGUAGGCGGCCUUAACGGGUGGUCGCCCACACUGGGAUUGAGAUACAGCCCAGACUCCUACGGGAGGCAGCAGUCGAGAAUAGUCUACAAUGGUCGGAAGACUGAUAGUGCGACGCCGCGUGAACGAUGAAUCCCUUCGGGGUGUAAAGUUCUUUUAUAUGUGAGCAGUGCUUCUUAUAUUAACAGUAUGGGGAGAGAGAUAUUAGCAUAUGAAUAAGCAACGGCUAACUCCGUGCCAGCGGCCGCGGUAAUA
rnacentral:rRNA from 1 species